rnacentral:rRNA from 1 species
CAGCACCUCAAGUGGUCAGGAUGAUUAUUGGGCCUAAAGCAUCCGUAGCCGGCGCUGGAAGUUUUCGGUUAAAUCUGUACGCUCAACGUACAGGCUGCCGGGAAUACUGCAGCGCUAGGGAGUGGGAGAGGUAGACGGUACUCGGUAGGAAGGGGUAAAAUCCUUUGAUCUAUUGAUGACCACCUGUGGCGAAGGCGGUCUACCAGAACACGUCCGACGGUGAGGGAUGAAAGCUGGGGGAGCAAACCGGAUUAGAUACCCGAGUAGUCC